UACAGAGGGGGCCAGCGUUAUUCGGAAUUAUUGGGCGUAAAGGGCGCGUAGGCGCCAUGCGUGUCUUCCGUGAAAUCCCUCGGCUCAACCGAGGACGUGCGGAAGAAACUGCAAGGCUCGAGUCCGGAAGAGGGGGGCGGAAUUCCCAGUGUAGCGGUGAAAUGCGUAGAUAUUGGGAGGAACACCAGUGGCGAAGGCGGUCCCCUGGGCCGGAACUGACGCUGAGGCGCGAAAGCGUGGGUAGCAAACGGG
rnacentral:rRNA from 1 species